rnacentral:pre_miRNA from 1 species
UGAUUGUCCAAACGCAAUUCUUGUUUGACCUUUGACCAAGAACUGCGCUGGACAUCAGC